UUAAAUUGAAGAGUUUGAUCAUGGCUCAGAUUGAACGCUGGCGGCAGGCCUAACACAUGCAAGUCGAGCGGUAGCACAGAGAGCUUGCUCUCGGGUGACGAGCGGCGGACGGGUGAGUAAUGUCUGGGAAACUGCCUGAUGGAGGGGGAUAACUACUGGAAACGGUAGCUAAUACCGCAUAACGUCGCAAGACCAAAGUGGGGGACCUUCGGGCCUCAUGCCAUCAGAUGUGCCCAGAUGGGAUUAGCUAGUAGGUGGGGUAACGGCUCACCUAGGCGACGAUCCCUAGCUGGUCUGAGAGGAUGACCAGCCACACUGGAACUGAGACACGGUCCAGACUCCUACGGGAGGCAGCAGUGGGGAAUAUUGCACAAUGGGCGCAAGCCUGAUGCAGCCAUGCCGCGUGUGUGAAGAAGGCCUUCGGGUUGUAAAGCACUUUCAGCGGGGAGGAAGGCGGUGAGGUUAAUAACCUCAUCGAUUGACGUUACCCGCAGAAGAAGCACCGGCUAACUCCGUGCCAGCAGCCGCGGUAAUA
rnacentral:rRNA from 1 species